UAUACUUUAUAUUAUUAUUUGUU
rnacentral:snRNA from 1 species